UACGUAGGGGGCAAGCGUUGUCCGGAUUUAUUGGGCGUAAAGAGCUCGUAGGCGGUUCGUCGCGUCGGCUGUGAAAACCUGAGGCUCAACCUCAGGCCUGCAGUCGAUACGGGCGGACUUGAGUACUGCAGGGGAGACUGGAAUUCCUGGUGUAGCGGUGAAAUGCGCAGAUAUCAGGAGGAACACCGGUGGCGAAGGCGGGUCUCUGGGCAGUAACUGACGCUGAGGAGCGAAAGCGUGGGGAGCGAACA
rnacentral:rRNA from 1 species